rnacentral:rRNA from 1 species
GUAGGGAAUAUUGGGCAAUGGAGGCAACUCUGACCCAGCCAUGCCGCGUGCAGGAUGACGGCCCUCUGGGUUGUAAACUGCUUUUAUACGGGAAGAAAAAAUACUACGUGUAGUAUACUGACGGUACCGUAAGAAUAAGGAUCGGCUAACUCCGUGCCAGCAGCCGCGGUAAUACGGAGGAUCCAAGCGUUGUCCGGAUUUAUUGGGUUUUAAGGGUGCGUAGGCGGAUCUUUAAGUCAGUGGUGAAAGCCUGCAGCUUAACUGUAGAAUUGCCAUUGAAACUGAAGAUCUUGAAUGUGGUUAAAGUAGGCGGAAUGUAUCAUGUAGCGGUGAAAUGCUUAGAUAUGAUACAGAACACCGAUAGCGAAGGCAGCUUGCUGAACCAUUAUUGACGCUGAGGCACGAAAGCGUGGGGAGCGAACAGGAUUAGAUACCCGAGUAGUCC